GACAGAGGUCCCGAGCGUUAGGCGGAAUCACUGGGCUUAAAGCGUGUGUAGGCGGAUUUGUAAGUACCUUGUGAAAUCCCACAGCUUAACUGUGGAACUGCUUGGUAUACUGCUUAUCUUGGGCCAUUUAGGGGCGAGCGGAACAAACGGUGGAGCGGUGAAAUGCGUAGAUAUCAGGAGGAAUACCGAUGGCGAAGGCAGGUCUCUGGGCUAACACUGACGCUCAUGCACGAAAGCGUGGGGAGCAAACAGG
rnacentral:rRNA from 1 species